CAGGAACCGAUCUAACGCCUUUGACAUGACCCGUCCUUUGCUUCCUAUUUGCCAUUGCCCACUUCGGUACUUUAAUGGCAAAGGCUUCCAACCUAAGAUAAUGACAGAAAAAGGAGUCAUGCAAGAAGCCAUUAAAGCAUCUUCUAAGCUUUCUGUUUUCCGUACUUUAAUGGCGACUUGUUUGUGCUGUGGCGAUCGCGGCAAUCGUAAGGAGUUCAGAUCUGUCCAUUUCGUUCAAGGAGGCUCUUACUGGUCCUCGAUUUCGCUCAUGUCAGCCCCCACCUGAUUCCGCUGUUUAUUUAGCAUUUCUUUAAUCGAGUGCGUCUCUGUUCUUUGAAUAUGGUGGAAUUCGUUUCAUCAGCUUCUCAUUUGCGGCUUUCGCUGCCGUAUUAUUUUGUUCUAGAAACCCUUUAAAGACAAAACCCCACCUUACACCUUUCAAUCCGAUCGAAAAUUAAAAAUUGAAAAAAAAGGAAAAAAAACCCGCAAAACCAAUCCAUCAAGCUAUUAAGCAAUCAAGCAAGCUCUAGAAGGGCUUGAAAUUGGCGAUUUUGGAAGCAUCAACGACUGCAACGGCUGAGAAUUCUGAAGAGAAUCAGAGAACUCAGAGCCAUUGGUUCCUUGGUUACCGGACGAGAUCGCCAAGCACUGUAUUUUACAUCGCUGCAAACAUUGAUGACCUACAAGCCGGUGCUGGUGGCUAAAAUGCGCGCGGAGUUGGCGAGGUACACUAACGAGAGUUUUAAGGGUAAAACGGUCAUUUUAUAUUUUUCAUUCAUGUUUAACGAUCCUGCUAAUGUUUAGACAAUUGUCAAUAA